GAAACAUCAGGCUCGUUCAGCCAGCGCAGGUGGAUACGCAGUCGCAUGACGACAAAACGGCACAUCAAUUUUCGCAUUACACUUGGGUGGUCAGUGCACUCACCAGUGGCAAAUAACUGAU
rnacentral:lncRNA from 1 species